rnacentral:tRNA from 1 species
AGGACGAUGGCGACGGCUUCCCGCCCGUGCUGCUGGAGCACGGGCCGCGCCGGUUCGUGACCGGCUCGCCCUC